UCUAUGGUAUUGCCAUGGGUAGGUCUGUGGUAACCCAUAUCCUUCCAUUUGUCUAAUAUUUUUCUACUUGAAAAUACUUGCUCUUAAUCGUCCAAUAUACUUCCUUAUAGUUAGAGAAUAUAUAAUGCUCCAUACCAGUAUUUUCUAUAAAUUCUUCAACCUCUAUUCUGUUGAUGAACUUGAAUUGGUUACAUCUGGGGACAUAUUCAGUUUUUCUUUCUGGGAGUAAAGUUAUGUGAUAAAUUUGAGAAGGAUAUAUAAUUUUUUAAUUUUUUUUCUUCAAUGCUGCUGCAUAUCAAUAUAUCUAAUUUUCUUCUAUCUUUUUGAGCUUGCUUUAGAAUAGUGGAAACUACAUCUGAAAAUAUGUCCA
rnacentral:lncRNA from 1 species